rnacentral:tRNA from 1 species
GCCCGGGUGGCGGAACAGGCAGACGCAACGGACUUAAAAUCCGUCGGCCGGUGACGGCCGUGCCGGUUCGAGUCCGGCCCCGGGCACCA